AUUGAACGCUGGCGGCAGGCCUAACACAUGCAAGUCGAGCGGAUGAGGGUAGCUUGCUACCUGAUUCAGCGGCGGACGGGUGAGUAAUGCCUAGGAAUCUGCCCGAUAGUGGGGGACAACGUUUCGAAAGGAACGCUAAUACCGCAUACGUCCUAUGGGAGAAAGUGGGGGAUCUUCGGACCUCACGCUAUCGGAUGAGCCUAGGUCGGAUUAGCUAGUUGGUGAGGUAAUGGCUCACCAAGGCUACGAUCCGUAACUGGUCUGAGAGGAUGAUCAGUCACACUGGAACUGAGGCACGGUCCAGACUCCUACGGGAGGCAGCAGUGGGGAAUAUUGGACAAUGGGCGAAAGCCUGAUCCAGCCAAGCCGCGUGUGUGAAGAAGGUCUUCGGAUUGUAAAGCACUUUAAGUUGGGAGGAAGGGCUGUAGGCUAAUAUCCUGCAGUUUUGACGUUACCAACAGAAUAAGCACCGGCUAACUUCGUGCCAGCCGCCGCCGUAA
rnacentral:rRNA from 1 species